AGGAAGUGGCUGAGAGAGGAUUAUUUCUUUCUGAGAUGACCAUACUCAGUGACCAAACUACCUUACUAAGCUGUGGACAAGGAGAAGGGAAGAAGACACAAUGACUGCCCUAGGGAAAUAAUAGGACAGCAUAGAACCAAGGCAGGCAUUGCUGUGAUCUGAAGAGUGACCAAAACUCCAAUACCAACAAGACAUCAAAGAUAACUUCAAAGCACCUGAGUUUUAAAGCGGGUAUAAUGUCUGGCGUGAUCUGGCAGGUUUUGAAAGGAUAACGUUCUGUCUGAGUUAUGAUAAAACUUCAUAAAGAUUUAUGUGUUUCUUGAAGCUUA